UGUAGAAUGGUCCGGCGAGUGAAUGUAACUGGCAAGGUUAAGCACUUAAGGUGUGAAGCCGUAGCGAGAGCGAGUCUGAAAAGGGCGUAAGAAGUCAGUUGUAUUCGACCCGAAACCGGGUGACCUACCCAUGUCCAGGCUGAAGUGCAGGUAAAACUUCAUGGAGGGCCGAACCGACUCCCGUUGAAAUGGUAGCGGAUGAGGUGUGGGUAGCGGAGAAAUUCCAAUCGAACCCGGAGAUAGCUGGUUCUCUCCGAAAUAGCUUUAGGGCUAGCCUUGGAAUAGAUUACUGGAGGUAAAGCACUGAAUUGGCUAGGGGCCGAGAGGUUACUGAACCUUAUCAAACUAAGAAUGCCAGAUAAUCGUUUUCCAGGAGUCAGACAGUGGGAGAUAAGUUUCAUUGUCAAAAGGGAAACAGCCCAGACCUACAGCUAAGGUCCCAAAGUAUAGUUAAGUGGAAAAGGAUGUGGAAUUGCAUAGACAACCAGGAUGUUGGCUUAGAAGCAGCCACUCAUUAAAAGAGUGCGUAAUAGCUCACUGGUCGAGUGAUUCUGCGCCGAAAAUUUAACGGGGCUAAACUAUACACCGAAGCUUAGGAUACCGCAAGGUAUGGUAGGAGAGCGUUCUGUACGGAGUGAAGUCGUAGCGAAAGCGGCGGUGGACUGUACAGAAGUGAGAAUGCCGGAAUAAGUAGCGAGAAUUAAGUGAGAAUCUUAAUGGCCGAAAGUCUAAGGUUUUUGGAGGAAGGUUCGUCCGCUCCAAGUAAGUCGGGAGCUAAGGUCAGGCCGAAAGGCGUAGCCGAUGCACAAACGGUUGAUAUUCCGUUACCGUCUACAAUUUAAACAAAGGGACACAUACAAAGCGUUUAACCCGGGCGAUGGUUGACCCGGGCGCAAGGGACUGAAAUAAGAGUAGGGAAGUAAAUGUGGCGUAUGGCGAGAAAAGCUUUGUGAAUAGAAGUAGACGCCCGUACCGCAAACCGACACAGGUGGACAGGAAGAGAAUUCUAAGGCCAGCGGGAGAAGGGUAGUUAAGGAACUCGGCAAAUUGACUCCGUAACUUCGGAAUAAGGAGUGCUCGAAAGAGCCGCAGAGAAUAGGCCCAGGCGACUGUUUAGCAAAAACACAGGUCUCUGCCAAAUCGAAAGAUGAAGUAUAGGGGCUGACACCUGCCCGGUGCCGGAAGGUUAAGAGGAGGAGUGCAAGCUCCGAAUUGAAGCCCCGGUAAACGGCGGCCGUAACUAUAACGGUCCUAAGGUAGCGAAAUUCCUUGUCGGGUAAGUUCCGACCCGCACGAAUGGUGUAACGAUCUGGGCACUGUCUCAACUACCCACCCGGCGAAAUUGUAGUACCGGUGAAGAUGCCGGUUACCUGCGGCAAGACGGAAAGACCCCAUGGAGCUUUACUGUAGCCUGAUAUUGGGUUUCGGAAAUCUAUGUACAGGAUAGGCGGGAGACUGGGAAGUAUGAGCGUCAGCUUAUACGGAGUCAUUGUUGGGAUACCGCCCUUAGGUUUCUGGAAUUCUAACCUGCGACCGUGAAUCCGGUCGGGGGACAUUGUCAGGUGGGCAGUUUGACUGGGGCGGUCGCCUCCGAAAAGGUAACGGAGGCGCUCAAAGGUUGGCUCAGCACGGACGGAAACCGUGCCUCUGAGUGUAAACGCAAAAGCCAGCCUAACUGCGAGGAUGACGGUCCGAGCAGUAACGAAAGUUGGAGUUAGUGAUCCGGCGGUAUGUGAAUGGAAAUGCCGUCGCUCAACGGAUAAAAGCUACCCUGGGGAUAACAGGCUGAUCUCCCCCAAGAGUCCACAUCGACGGGGAGGUUUGGCACCUCGAUGUCGGCUCAUCACAUCCUGGGGCUGUAUUCGGUCCCAAGGGUUCGGCUGUUCGCCGAUUAAAGUGGUACGCGAGCUGGGUUCAGAACGUCGCGAGACAGUUCGGUCCCUAUCUGUCGUGGGCGCAGGAUAUUUGAGGAGCUCUGUCCUUAGUACGAGAGGACCGGGAUGGACGUACCUCUGGUGCACCAGUUGUCAUGCCAAUGGCACGGCUGGGCAGCUACGUACGGAACGGAUAAACGCUGAAAGCAUCUAAGCGUGAAGCCGACUCCAAGAUUAGAUAUCCCAUUGCAUAAGCAAGUAAGACCCCUUGAGGACUACGAGGUUGAUAGGCUGCGUGUGUAAGUGUCGUGAGGCAUUUAGCUUGGCAGUACUAAUAGGUCGAGGGCUUGACCA
rnacentral:rRNA from 1 species